rnacentral:rRNA from 1 species
ACGAACGCUGGCGGCGUGCCUAAUACAUGCAAGUCGAACGCUUCUUUUUCCACCGGAGCUUGCUCCACCGGAAAAAGAGGAGUGGCGAACGGGUGAGUAACACGUGGGUAACCUGCCCAUCAGAAGGGGAUAACACUUGGAAACAGGUGCUAAUACCGUAUAACAAUCGAAACCGCAUGGUUUUGAUUUGAAAGGCGCUUUCGGGUGUCGCUGAUGGAUGGACCCGCGGUGCAUUAGCUAGUUGGUGAGGUAACGGCUCACCAAGGCGACGAUGCAUAGCCGACCUGAGAGGGUGAUCGGCCACAUUGGGACUGAGACACGGCCCAAACUCCUACGGGAGGCAGCAGUAGGGAAUCUUCGGCAAUGGACGAAAGUCUGACCGAGCAACGCCGCGUGAGUGAAGAAGGUUUUCGGAUCGUAAAACUCUGUUGUUAGAGAAGAACAAGGAUGAGAGUAACUGUUCAUCCCUUGACGGUAUCUAACCAGAAAGCCACGGCUAACUACGUGCCAGCAGCCGCGGUAAUACGUAGGUGGCAAGCGUUGUCCGGAUUUAUUGGGCGUAAAGCGAGCGCAGGCGGUUUCUUAAGUCUGAUGUGAAAGCCCCCGGCUCAACCGGGGAGGGUCAUUGGAAACUGGGAGACUUGAGUGCAGAAGAGGAGAGUGGAAUUCCAUGUGUAGCGGUGAAAUGCGUAGAUAUAUGGAGGAACACCAGUGGCGAAGGCGGCUCUCUGGUCUGUAACUGACGCUGAGGCUCGAAAGCGUGGGGAGCAAACAGGAUUAGAUACCCUGGUAGUCCACGCCGUAAACGAUGAGUGCUAAGUGUUGGAGGGUUUCCGCCCUUCAGUGCUGCAGCUAACGCAUUAAGCACUCCGCCUGGGGAGUACGACCGCAAGGUUGAAACUCAAAGGAAUUGACGGGGGCCCGCACAAGCGGUGGAGCAUGUGGUUUAAUUCGAAGCAACGCGAAGAACCUUACCAGGUCUUGACAUCCUUUGACCACUCUAGAGAUAGAGCUUCCCCUUCGGGGGCAAAGUGACAGGUGGUGCAUGGUUGUCGUCAGCUCGUGUCGUGAGAUGUUGGGUUAAGUCCCGCAACGAGCGCAACCCUUAUUGUUAGUUGCCAUCAUUUAGUUGGGCACUCUAGCAAGACUGCCGGUGACAAACCGGAGGAAGGUGGGGAUGACGUCAAAUCAUCAUGCCCCUUAUGACCUGGGCUACACACGUGCUACAAUGGGAAGUACAACGAGUCGCAAAGUCGCGAGGCUAAGCUAAUCUCUUAAAGCUUCUCUCAGUUCGGAUUGUAGGCUGCAACUCGCCUACAUGAAGCCGGAAUCGCUAGUAAUCGCGGAUCAGCACGCCGCGGUGAAUACGUUCCCGGGCCUUGUACACACCGCCCGUCACACCAUGAGAGCCGGGGGGACCCGAAGUCGGUAGUCUAACCGUAAGGAGGACGCCGCCGAAGGUAAAACUGGUGAUUGGGGUG